CACAAAUACACAGAAGCCAGUUAAAGGUAGCUGAGUAAGGCCAAGAGUGGGUAUUCACACCCCAUUGAAGCAGAGAGCAACCCCAGGGAGUAACACUACUCAUUGUUUAGGAAAAUAGUACUUAGAGAUGACAAACAGCACGUCAGACUGAAACGUGACCAGAGAAAGGAAGAGACUCAGAUGCCUGAUUCUCCCAGCAAGGCUCAAUUCCAGAAAGUUAUUUAAAGAGCAC